rnacentral:rRNA from 1 species
GUGAGGAAUAUUGCGCAAUGGAGGCAACUCUGACGCAGCCAUGCCGCGUGCAGGAAGAAGGCGCUACGCGUUGUAAACUGCUUUUAACCGGGAAGAAACCCCAGGACGUGUCCUGGGUUGACGGUACCGGAGGAAUAAGCACCGGCUAACUUCGUGCCAGCAGCCGCGGUAAUACGAAGGGUGCAAGCGUUAUCCGGAUUCAUUGGGUUUAAAGGGUGCGUAGGCGGAGCGUUAAGUCAGUGGUGAAAUCCUGCAGCUUAACUGUAGACUUGCCAUUGAUACUGGCGCUCUUGAGUGCGCUUGAAGUGGGCGGAAUGUGCCGUGUAGCGGUGAAAUGCUUAGAUAUGGCACAGAACAACAAUUGCGAAGGCAGCUCACUAAGGCGAUACUGACGCUGAGGCACGAAAGCGUGGGGAUCGAACAGGAUUAGAAACCCCAGUAGUCC